rnacentral:rRNA from 1 species
UACGUAGGGUGCAAGCGUUAAUCGGAAUUACUGGGCGUAAAGCGUGCGCAGGCGGUUAUGCAAGACAGAUGUGAAAUCCCCGGACUUAACCUGGGAACCGCAUUUGUGACUGCAUAGCUGGAGUACGGCAGAGGGGGAUGGAAUUCCGCGUGUAGCAGUGAAAUGCGUAGAUAUGCGGAGGAACACCGAUGGCGAAGGCAGUCCCCUGGGCCUGUACUGACGCUCAUGCACGAAAGCGUGGGGAGCAAAAGGG